UCGAGUCUCUGCCCCAACAAAUUCAGCACUUAACUUGUUUAAAACAACUCUGGAUAAGUGAUUUUAAGGGACUAGAGGCUCUUCCUGAGUGGUUGGGAAAUCUUACAUCUCUUGAGUCUCUGAGAAUCUGGUUCUGUGAGAAUCUCAAGUAUCUGCCUACACAAAAUGCUAUGACAAGCCUCACCAAAUUAAAGAAGCUCCGCAGUGACGGAUGUCCCCUGCUCAAAGAAAGAUGCACCAAGGAGACUGGCCCAGAAUGGCCCAAGAUUUCUCACAUCCCAGAUCUUCAGUUUGGCAAUUGGUGAUAUGCAAUGCCUGCCUUACUGAACUAGAAUGUCUGUACACGUUACAAGGUUAAUCAAUUUCCACCUAAAGCAGGGCUCUAUCGUACCUGACGGCAAGAAUAGGUGAUGAUCACCUCUCCCAUGUAUGGCUUGUCUGCUGUGUUUCAUUGAAGAUAAGGUG